AUUGAACGCUGGCGGCAGGCUUAACACAUGCAAGUCGAGCGGUAGCACAGGGGAGCUUGCUCCCUGGGUGGCGAGCGGCGGGCGGGUGAGUAAUGUCUGGGAAACUGCCUGAUGGAGGGGGAUAACUACUGGAAACGGUAGCUAAUACCGCAUAACGUCGCAAGACCAAAGAGGGGGACCUUCGGGCCUCUUGCCAUCAGAUGUGCCCAGAUGGGAUUAGCUAGUAGGUGGGGUAAUGGCUCACCUAGGCGACGAUCCCUAGCUGGUCUGAGAGGAUGACCAGCCACACUGGAACUGAGACACGGUCCAGACUCCUACGGGAGGCAGCAGUGGGGAAUAUUGCACAAUGGGCGCAAGCCUGAUGCAGCCAUGCCGCGUGUGUGAAGAAGGCCUUCGGGUUGUAAAGCACUGUCAGCGAGGAGGAAGGUGGUGAGCUUAAUACGUUCAUCAAUUGACGUUACUCGCAGAAGAAGCACCGGCUAACUCCGUG
rnacentral:rRNA from 1 species